rnacentral:rRNA from 1 species
UGGGGAAUCUUGCGCAAUGGGCGAAAGCCUGACGCAGCAAUGCCGCGUGAGGGAAGAAGGUCUUAGGAUUGUAAACCUCUUUCAGCAGGGAAGAAAACAGACGGUACCUGCAGAAGAAGCCCCGGCUAACUACGUGCCAGCAGCCGCGGUAAUACGUAGGGGGCGAGCGUUGUCCGGAAUCAUUGGGCGUAAAGAGCGUGUAGGCGGACUGGAAGGUCUGGUGUGAAAGCCCGGGGCUCAACCCCGGAGGGUCACCGGAAACCGACAGUCUUGAAUCUGGAAGAGGAGAGUGGAAUUCCUGGUGUAGCGGUGGAAUGCGCAGAUAUCAGGAGGAACACCAAUGGCGAAGGCAGCUCUCUGGUACAUGAUUGACGCUGAGACGCGAAAGCGUGGGGAGCGAACA